rnacentral:rRNA from 1 species
GACAGAGGGUGCAAACGUUGUUCGGAAUUACUGGGCGUAAAGCGCGUGUAGGCGGCUAAGUAAGUCGGGCGUGAAAUCCCACGGCUCAACCGUGGAAGUGCACUCGAAACUGCGUAGCUAGAGUCCUGGAGAGGAAGGUGGAAUGCUUGGUGUAGAGGUGAAAUUCGUAGAUAUCAAGCGGAACACCGGUGGCGAAGGCGGCCUUCUGGACAGUGAGUGACGCUGAGACGCGAAAGCGUGGGGAGCAAACAGG